UGUGACGUCACAGUAGAAAGCCUUCAUAAACGAGACGCUUAGAAUGUUUCACUCACUGUCACUGUUCGCAUCGGAGACGCUCUCUCGACGUCGUGUACCUACGGAUCACUUUCACAGAUUUGCACAACGAGGGCUUUAGGCGAGUGGAAAGUGCGAAAUAUCUACAAUAACAAGACAAGCAGGCAUGAGACAACAACAGAUGCCAGAAGAGUCACCAACUAGUAAGAUUUGACAAAUAAGUUGUAAGAAAAGUUAUAGUUAAAGGUACACUAUGUAACUUUUUGUUCAAAAUGUGCAGAAUUUAUAUAAUGAGCGAGUCCGUCAUGAAUCCAUCUUCCAAAACCAUGUUUUUGUCUAAAUCUGAAUCACUGCGAUACGCCUAUAAUAAGAUGGGCUAUGCACAGACAUUUUGAGGGGCAGGUGCUUAAGUGAGAAAAAAUGCCAACCCUCUUAUAAUUAAUUAAUUACUAUAAAAACAUUUUAAACAGUUUUUACAUACACUAGUAGUUACAUUUAAUUUAGAAGAACACUUAAAUUACUUUAAUACAUAUUUCUUUAUUUAAAUAUAAUAAUCCUUUGUUGGCAUUAUGCUGGAAUUGAUAAAUGAGUGAAAUCAAUGUGCAUUAGUGACAGAAAUUAUUAUUUAUUAUUAUUACUAUUAUUAUACUAUUGUUAUUUAGAUACACUGCAAUUACAGUUGCAAGAAUAAUGUUAUGAAAUUAGUGAUUUAAAUGUAAAAAGUUGUUACAUAGUGUACCUUUACUUUUGAAAAACACAUUUAAAUAAUGUAAACACAAUCAAAUAAUUUGAACAAGUUAGCUGCAUUUACAUGGACCCGAAUAAUCAGUUUGUAACUGGACUAGCAUAACCACAUCAAUCGGAAUGAAUUAGCCAAAUCCAAUUUAAUCUAAAAUUCUCCUUCCACUCAUUGUCUGUAAAGUGGUGGAGGAUAACGUCCCACCAGUCCUUUGCUUCGGACUCUCAUUCACAGUUGGUGCCUUGUUUUGGGCACAGGAAGGGGACAUAAACUGCUUGAUGAAAAUAAGCAGCAUGGCACGAAGCUUAAUGUGCUCGUCGUCUCCUAAUUAGGACCCGAAAUAGAUAAAUAUUAAGUGUGCUUUUUAAAACAAAGAAAAGAAACAAUGAUAGAAAGAAGAUUAGUAUUUGCCAACAGGGGGAAAUCUGUUUAAUCAUGCGGUGUGUGCACGUCAAAAGAUCAAUUCUGAUUUAAAUGUGAACACCAACCCAAUCACUUUAUUUAGCGAUCAUGUAAAUACUGGGUUUGGAUUCAUCAACUGGAAUUAUUUAAUUACAAUUGAAACAAAAGUUGUCAGUGUAAAUGCAGCUAUUGACCAAAAUGACAAACACAUUGCAUUCUGCGCAUUACACACCUUGGCCAGUUGGAUAUUUUGUCAAAGCUAUCAGUUCACCCCAAGUCAGCACUUGGAGAUAGGACUAGGGUGUGUCCUGUAAGGCUGUGGUGGGUGGGACACAGGCCACACCCUAGGUUGCCAAAAAAAAAAACCAACAACAACGUCGAACGUAAAAAAAAAAAAAAGAAAAGCUAAAUGACAUCUGAUCUGAAAUAGUUAAAUUCAUAAUGAAACACAGUCAAAAACAUUUCAAAAUGACGUAGCAAAUCUAAUGCCCAGAUAUAAUUAUUCUAAAAUACGACAUCUGUGAUGAAUUGGCCUUUUUGUCGUAUUGGUUCCUAGCUCUAGUGCAGCACUCUGGGCGGGACUGACCAGCUACGUGCCGAAAGCGCAGUCUGUUGUAGACUGCAUCCAGAAAACCCUUAACCGCCUUUUAAGGGCCUGGCAAAGCUAUGAGUUCACCCCAAGUCAGCACUUGGAGAUAGGACUAGGGUGUGUCCUGUAAGGCCGUGGUGGGUGGGACACAGGCCACACCCUAGGAUGCCAAAAAAAAAACAAAAAAAAACAACAACGUCGAACGUUAAAAAAAAAAAAAGCUAAAUGACAUCUGAUCUGAAAUAGUUGAAUUCAUAAUGAAACACUGUCAAAAACAUUUCUAAAUGACGUAGCAAAUCUAAUGCCCAGAUAUAAUUAUUUUAAAAUACGAAAUCGGUGAUGAAUUGGCCUUUUUGACGUAUUGGUUCCUAGCUCUGGUGCAGCACUCUGGGCGGGACUGACCAGCUACGUGCCGAAAGCGCAGUAUGUUGUAGACUGCAUCCAGAAAACCCUCAACCAACUUGUUAAGGGCCUGGCAAAGCUAUCAGUUCACCCCAAGUCAGCAUUUGGAGAUAGAACUAGGGUGUGUCCUGUAAGGCCGUGGUGGGUGGGAAACAGGCCACACCCUGGGAUGCCAAAAAAAACAAAAACAACGUCGAACGUUAAAAAAAAAGAAAAGCUAAAUGACAUCUGAUCUGAAAUAGUUAAAUUUAUAAUGAAAAACAGUCAAAAACAUUUCUAAAUGACGUAGCAAAACUAAUGCCCAGAUAUAAUUAUUUUAAAAUGCGAAAUCUGUGAUGAAUUGGCCUUUUUGUCGUGUUGGUUCCUAGCUCUGGUGCAGCACUCUGGGCGGGACUGACCAGCUACGUGCCGAAAGCGCAGUCUGUUGUAGACUGCAUCCAGAAAACCCUCAACUAACUUGUUAAGGGCCUGGCAAAGCUAUCAGUUCACCCCAAGUCAGCAUUUGGAGAUAGGACUAGGGUGUAUCCUGUAAGGCUGUGGUGGGUGGGACACAGGCCACACCCUAGGUUGCCAAAAAAAAAAAAAAAAAAAAAAACGAUGACGAACUAAAAAAAAAAAAGGUAACUGAAAUCCGAAGUAGUUAAAUUCAUAAUGAAACACUGUCAAAAACAUUACGAAAUGACGUAGCAAAACUAAUGCCCAGAUAUAAUUAUUUUAAAAUGCGAAAUCUGUGAUGAAUUGGCCUUUUUGUCGUGUUGGUUCCUAGCUCUGGUGCAGCACUCUGGGCGGGACUGACCAGCUACGUGCCGAAAGCGCAGUCUGUUGUAGACUGCAUCCAGAAAACCCUUAACCGCCUUUUAAGGGCCUGGCAAAGCUAUCAGUUCACCCCAAGUCAGCACUUGGAGAUAGGACUAGGGUGUGUCCUGUAAGGCCGUGGUGGGUGGGACACAGGCCACACCCUAGGUUGCCAAAAAAAAAAAAAAAAAAAAAAGUUGAACGUUAAAAAAAAAAAAGAAAA